GAUCCUGGCUCAGGAUGAACGCUAGCUACAGGCUUAACACAUGCAAGUCGCGGGGUAACAUUUGACAGAGCUUGCUCAGUCAAGAUGACGACCGGCGCACGGGUGAGUAACGCGUAUCCAACCUGGCCCAUACCACGGGACAGCCCGUCGAAGGCGGAUUAAUACCGUAUGCAGUCAUAGACAAGCAUUUGAAUAUGACGAAAGGCUUAGACGGUAUGGGAUGGGGAUGGCG
rnacentral:rRNA from 1 species